GACGAACGCUGGCGGCGUGCCUAAUACAUGCAAGUAGAACGCAGUUGCGAACGGGUGAGUAACGCGUAGGUAACUGCCUCAUAGCGGGGGAUAACUAUUGGAAACGAUAGCUAAUACCGCAUACUGUGAGAUGGACCUGCGUUGUAUUAGCUAGUUGGUGAGGUAAAGGCUCACCAAGGCGACGAUACAUAGCCGACCUGAGAGGGUGAUCGGCCACACUGGAACUGUGGCACGGCCCUACUUCCUCCGGGAGGCAUCAGUAGCUAAUCUUCGGCAAUGGACGUAGGUCUGACCGAGCCACGCCGCGUGAGUGACGCAGGUUUUCGGUUCGUAAAUCUCUGUUGUUUGAGACGCGGUAACUAACCUGUAGGGGACGGCUAACUACGUGCCAGCAGCCGCGGUAAUUC
rnacentral:rRNA from 1 species